CAAACAUUUGCAGUAGGGUAGGUAGGUAGGUAGGUAUUUUAUUUAAGACGGUCGAAUAAAACCGUUACGGUCGAAACGUCAGGCCAAACAAUAUAUUCAACGAACUAUAACUAACUGCCGUGCAAUUAGUGCGAAUGUUGUUUUAAAAAAAAAAAAAAAAAAAUCAAGGACAGUUUAUAUAUAUAAAGUUUGAACACUGUAUAUGAUAUACGCGUACAUCGUACAGUUUGAGGGAGGGCACCCAACUCUCGAUUUU